GGAUAUGAGGGCGAUCUGGCUGCGACAUCUGUCACCCCAUUGAUCACCAGGGUUGAUUUGACUGAUCUAGGCGGGUGUCCCCUUCCUCCCUCACCGCUCCAUGUGCAUCCCUCCCGAAGCUGCAGGCUCGGUUGAAGAGGACGACCUUCCCUGCUAGAGGAGGACCAUAGAACCUCCAAACAAGCUCUCAAAGGAUGCUUCUAAUAAAAUUGCAAACACAGAAUUACAAACUUCCAGGUAUAUUGUUCUACCCACUGUUCACU
rnacentral:snRNA from 1 species